CACACCCGCUGAGCGAGAGCCGAGGGCCUUGGCGGCUGCGGCGGCGACUUUGGCGUCCGAGAGAGGGCGCCCCGGGGUCGGGAUGCGGCGGAGCCCCCGCCCGGGCUCGGCCACGUCCCCUCACAAGCACACGCCCAACUUCUACAGCGACAACAGCAACAGCUCAGUGAGCGUCACCUCGGGGGACAGCAGCGGGCCCCGGUCAGCUGGACCGGGGCCCGGGGAGCCCGAGGGCAGAAGAGCCCGGGGCUCGAGCUGCGGUGAGCCCGCCUUGAGCGCAGGAGUGUCCGGAGGAACCACAUGGGCUGGAAGCUCUCGGCAGAAGCCUGCGCCUCGGAGCCACAAUGGGCCGACCGCCUGUGGCGCGGCAACCGUGAGGGGCGGGGCCUCGGAACCGGCUGGCCCUCCCGUAGUCUCUGAGGAGCAGCUCGACCUUCUCUCGACCCUGGAUCUGAGGCAGGAGAUGCCUCCACCGCGCGUGUCCAAGAGCUUCUUGAGUAUGGGCCAGGCCAGCCGGAACCCCUCUGACCCUCUGGCGCCCCUCUCUGAAUUCCAGUUCUCAUUUCUGAGAGACCGUUUUCGUUCUGAGCCGGGCCCAUGCCUGCUGUUGCAGGUGCUGAGCGUGUUGCUGUCCCUGGUUGGAGACGUGCUGAUCGUCGUGUACAGGGAGGUUUGUUCCAUCCGCUUCCUGCUCACGGCUGUGUCACUGCUGAGCCUCUUUCUGGCAGCACUCUGGUGGGGGCUGCUGUACCUGAUCCCUCCUUUGGAGAAUGAACCUAAAGAGAUGCUGACUCUAAGCGAGUACCAUGAGCGCGUACGCUCCCAGGGGCAGCAACUGCAGCAGCUCCAGGCCGAGUUGGAUAAACUGCACAAGGAAGUGUCCAGCGUUCGCGCAGCCAACAGCGAGAGAGUGGCCAAGCUUGUAUUCCAAAGGUUGAAUGAAGACUUUGUGAGGAAACCCGACUAUGCGCUGAGUUCUGUGGGGGCCUCCAUCGACCUUGAGAAGACAUCACACGAUUAUGAGGAUGCGAACACUGCCUAUUUCUGGAAUCGCUUCAGCUUCUGGAAUUACGCACGGCCGCCAACCGUUAUCCUGGAGCCAGAUGUAUUCCCGGGGAAUUGCUGGGCUUUUGAGGGCGACCAGGGCCAGGUGGUGAUCCGGCUACCGGGUCGUGUGCAACUAAGCGACAUCACCCUGCAGCACCCACCACCCAGUGUGGCACACACCGGAGGAGCCAAAAGCGCCCCCCGCGACUUCGCAGUCUACGGCCUCCAGGUUGAUGACGAGACUGAAGUUUUCUUGGGGAAAUUCACCUUCAAUGUGGAGAAAUCGGAGAUUCAGACUUUCCAUCUACAGGUCCCAGCUUGGGAAGGCCAGCAGGCUUCACCCAGGCAGGGCUGAACCUGUAUCCAGCUCUAGGACACCUAAGGAAGAGAAGGCCCUUAGAGUCUCCAUACUCCUCUAAUUCCCUUAGGGUGAGCUCAAUGGGACAGGACACGUUUAAACUUCUACAAGGAAAGCCCUAUUCCAGCUCCCUCUGAGAACCCAUCUGACAGCUGGAAACGGUGAAAUCCCCAGCCAAAAUCCAGAAAAACAGCUCCAGUGUUUUUUUUUUUUUUUUUUUAAUUUUAAUGUUGCUCCUAGAAUGUGUCUUGUAGACUCUGACCAGUCUGAUCAUCCCUCUUUGGAAGUUCCCUAAGAACAGAUCAGAGAAGAACACAUACUCCCAAAGGAGUGGGACCACAACUUCUACAAGUCACAUUUUGACUCCAUGCUUCUCACUUCAUAUGUUCUCUGAGGCAGUGUUUCCACAGAAUAAAGAAUGCUCAUAUCACUACUGCUGAGAAUAGUAAAACCCCUGAGGCUGCUUGAAGAUCUAUUGUGUACUAUGUAAACUAUGUUACAUUAAAACAAUGGAAUGCUGAGCAGUAGGUAAAAUUCAAGGGAGAACUAUAUUACAUUGGUAUUAUAUGGAAAAAAUAAAGUUGCAAAGAAUGGUAAGAAAAGUAUGACUCCACCUGAAACUUCAACUGUAUGUAUAUAUACACUGGAUUUGAAUACAUACACAAAAUAAAUACACGGAAAACAGAAGGUACACCAAAAAAUGCAAAGGUACACCUAAUGGAAGCAGAAUGAAGGUGAGGAUUUUAUAAUCUCAAUAUACUUCUGCAUUGUUUAAAUAUUUUAUAGUUUAUUUUGUAUUUUUUAAAGGACUUUGUUAGCUUUUUUCCCCAAUCCACAACUCAAGUCCUCUUGACUAUGCAAAGCCCAAAGCCUAUCUCCAGUUCAACAACCCCUACCCAACUUCAGGGUCACAGUUUCUUGCUUCUUCUCUGGCUUCUCAUUAGCACUGCCUCAGCUAGUCUUUCUUGUGUCAGCUUCCAGAGUCUCUACCUUAACUAGAAGCCCUGCAAAGCUGCCCAUGGCUCUUAGGUUCAGAGCCAAACUCCCCUAGCAAGACUACCUCAUGGCACAACCCCAGAGAGCACAUCUACACAGAAUUCGGUAGUUGUGUAAUAUGGUAACCCCGCAACCCUAAUUCAACCUUCAAAGCCCUUCCCAGUUUGCUCUUCCUCCUGCUAUCCCACCACCCAACCAACUAGUCAUCCAAAGCUAUUUCUGGUUACACCCACACACAUGCUGAUACUUCAGACUUUCCUAACAAAUGCCUUGUCAUCCAAAGUUCUGCUAUGACAUUAUUCCUUUAUGAAGCCUGACCCACAUUCUUCAAGUAAAAUUUAUUCUCUCUCCUCUGAAAGAUUACAUGGUUUCCCAAUCAUUUUCCUGCAAAUACACACAAGAUACUUCUGUGUUUAUUAGCAAAACAGAAACUAGACCAUACCAUUUCUCUGCUUAAAACUCUGGAAUGGCAUCCCAAAAGACUCAAAGUCCAAAGUUCUUUACCACAGUCUACAAGACUUCUCAGCAAGACCUGAUAGUUAUCUAACUAAUCAAUCUAGCCACACAAGUAUGUUGCAGCCAGGUUUCAUUUCUGACCCACAUACACACAUCAAUCUCAUUCCCUGUAUCAGAGCUUUUGUGCUAUCUUCAUCCAUAGAUACCGAAGAAAAUAGCUGUAUUAGAGUAGGAACCAUGUCUGGUUUGCCUAAUCUAUCUCCAGUACCUACAAUGGUACGUACCCUAUAGUAGGUACUCAGUAAAUUAAAUAUUAGUGAUUUAACACUGAAACUACCAUAUCAAAAUUUUGGCUUUUGUCUACCUUCAUGAUCUAUGGGCUCUUCGGAACUAGGGCUGGGUAUUAUUUCUGUAUCCCUAAUACCAGUGCUUAAUAUAUAGUCAGUACCUACAACUAUUGCUGAAUAAAUGGAACAUGUGCUUUUUUGCUCAACUCAAACUUCCAGGCCUUUCCAUUUAAAAUAUGUCCAGAAGUAAAUCUUCUCUAUCCUGAUUUU